AGCGAACGCUGGCGGCAGGCCUAACACAUGCAAGUCGAACGAACCUUUCGGGGUUAGUGGCGGACGGGUGAGUAACACGUGGGAACGUUCCUUUAGGUUCGGAAUAACUCAGUGAAACUUGUGCUAAUACCGAAUGUGCCCUUCGGGGGCAAGAUUUAUCGCCUUUAGAGCGGCCCGCGUCCGAUUAGCUAGUUGGUUGAGGUAAUGGCUCACCAAGGCGACGAUCAGUAGCUGGUCUGAGAGGAUGAUCAGACACAUUGGGACUGAGACACGGCCCAAACUCCUACGGGAGGCAGCAGUGGGGAAUCUUGCGCAAUGGGCGAAAGCCUGACGCAGCCAUGCCGCGUGAAUGAUGAAGGUCUUAGGAUUGUAAAAUUCUUUCACCGGGGACGAUAAUGACGGUACCCGGAGAAGAAGCCCCGGCUAACUUCGUG
rnacentral:rRNA from 1 species